GAUGAAGAACGCAGCGAAAUGCGAUAAGUAAUGUGAAUUGCAGAAUUCAGUGAAUCAUCGAAUCUUUGAACGCACAUUGCGCCCGCCAGUAUUCUGGCGGGCAUGCCUGUUCGAGCGUCAUUUCAACCCUCAAGCUCAGCUUGGUGUUGGGACUCGCGGUAACCCGCGUUCCCCAAAUCGAUUGGCGGUCACGUCGAGCUUCCAUAGCGUAGUAAUCAUACACCUCGUUACUGGUAAUCGUCGCGGCCACGCCGUAAAACCCCAACUUCUGAAUGUUGACCUCGGAUCAGGUAGGAAUACCCGCUGAACUUAAGCAUAUCAAUAAGCGGAGGA
rnacentral:misc_RNA from 1 species